GAAAACAAAAAUUGAAAAAAAAUGACAGUAAAAGACACUAGCACCUACUAAGUUAGCUAUCCCUCACUCGAUUAUUCAGCCCAGUGGUGGUUGAUUCACAAUGUCUAAAAAAUGAGGAAAAGAUGAAAAAAAAAUGCCUAUAUAUGAAUAGUAAAUGAAGAAUCACUAAUCGGAGUAAGUUGGGUAUACUCUAAAAAGUCGCCCUUCCCAAAAGUUAGUUUGUUCCCGUGUUAUGAAUAA
rnacentral:lncRNA from 1 species